rnacentral:rRNA from 1 species
AUCUUGCGCAAUGCGCGAAAGCGUGACGCAGCAACGCCGCGUGGGGGAAGAAGGCCUUCGGGUUGUAAACCCCUUUCAGGAGGGACGAAGGUUGGCCGGUGAAUAGCCGUGCGGAUUGACGGUACCUCCACAAGAAGCUCCGGCUCACUACGUGCCAGCAGCCGCGGUAAUACGUAGGGGGCAAGCGUUGUCCGGAAUCAUUGGGCGUAAAGCGCGCGUAGGUGGCCAUGUAAGUCCGCUGUGAAAGUCAAAGGCUCAACCUUUGAAAGCCGGUGGAUACUGCAUGGCUAGAGUACGGAAGAGGCGAGUGGAAUUCCUGGUGUAGCGGUGGAAUGCGCAGAUAUCAGGAGGAACACCAAUAGCGAAGGCAGCUCGCUGGGACGUUACUGACACUGAGGCGCGAAAGCGUGGGGAGCGAACAGG